rnacentral:lncRNA from 1 species
GUCCUGAUCCAGAAAUCCCGGACUUAAACACACGAAAUCCUGAGGUCCCGAAUUUUAAAAAAAAAUCUCCCGAAUCCCGAAAUUCGAAAAAAAAAUAAUUCCCAUCUCCCGGAAUCCCGAGCUUAAAAACAACCCAUCCCGGAGUAACGAUAAAGGUCCUAUCCCCCUCCAUGGAUGUAUAAACCCAUACAGCUAUGCUUACCCAAACUCCGAAAAUCGGAUACAGAUUAAAAAAAGAAAAAUGUUUUUCACCCAUGAAGC